rfam:Angiostrongylus cantonensis strain Taiwan genome assembly, scaffold: ACAC_contig0000060
GUGGGCCGAUUUCAGGUGCCUCGUACGUACCUGGGUAUGGUUGUGGGAUCGCUAUGCGCCCUGAUGGGUGUGUUGACAAUCGCAUUACCAGUUCCGGUGAUCGUCUCCAAC